rnacentral:rRNA from 1 species
GACAGAGGUGCCGAGCGUUAGGCGGAAUCACUGGGCUUAAAGCGUGUGUAGGCGGGUCGUUAAGUGCCUUGUGAAAUCCCACAGCUCACCUGUGGAACUGCUUGGCAUACUGGCGAUCUUGAGCCACUUAGGGGCAACCGGAACAAACGGUGGAGCGGUGAAAUGCGUAGAUAUCGUUUGGAACGCCAAUGGUGAAAACAGGUCGCUGGGAGUGUGCUGACGCUGAGACACGAAAGCCAGGGGAGCAAACGGG